CGUAUAGCACCGGGCCCAGAUUUGGCACCAGGACGCGCACAAGACGACGAGCUGCGCGGAGAUCGAACACCUCCUGCAGGCACACGAAGUCCAAACCCGGCUCCUUCGCCGCGAAACGUCAGGAAGAUUCAUUCCGGCCAGCGUGAGUUGAAUCCUUAAGAGUUCGCACGAGCUGCAGGAGGUCAAGACCAGGUGGCACAACCUGUGCGUGCAGCUAGUAAGGACCUGUGUGCCCCGGGAGCCUGAGUUCUGGGCAUUGGCCCCACCCACUCAGAACUUCUGACGGUUGGGAAGAAAAAAAAAAAAAACACCCAGGUGUCACAGUCCCGCCCACCCGGCCGCCACACUGUCCUAAAACAGGACAGGAAGGUCUUCCUGGAUGCCACCUUCCCUGACACCCCCUGUAGCCAAAGGACCGACGUUUCUACCAAGGCAGAGGACGCAGACGGGCAGUACAGCAGAUAAAUUCCGUGUCCUUCCUGGAGCUGAGGACCUUAAUAUUAUAAUGAAUCCGUAUCUGUUUGGAUCAGUUGUUGUUUGCAACCAAGCGCACUGGAUGAUUUGUCUAAGAAAGAGAAUGCUUUGGGUGGCUUUCAACUGAGUCGUUCCCAGGAAGAAGGAGAGAGUCUGGGUCACCGCUGCUGGAAGUAAGGUGAGACCUCGAGUCUGAGAGAGAUGGUGGAGGCCCCUGGCAGGGGGACAAGCAUGUUGUGACGAGCAGCCCAGCAUCUCAGAAGACCAGACACGGUGGAACACAACUCUAAUUCCAGGACUUGGAGGCGGAAGCAGGAGUCUCAGAAAUUUAAGGUCAUCCUUGGCUAUAAAGCGAAUUCAAGGCCAGCCUGGGCUACACAUGAGACCAUGUUUCCAAA